rnacentral:rRNA from 1 species
GAUGAACGCUGGCGGCGUGCCUAAUACAUGCAAGUCGAGCGAACAGACGAGGAGCUUGCUCCUCUGACGUUAGCGGCGGACGGGUGAGUAACACGUGGAUAACCUACCUAUAAGACUGGGAUAACUUCGGGAAACCGGAGCUAAUACCGGAUAAUAUAUUGAACCGCAUGGUUCAAUAGUAAAAGACGGUUUUGCUGUCACUUAUAGAUGGAUCCGCGCCGCAUUAGCUAGUUGGUAAGGUAACGGCUUACCAAGGCAACGAUGCGUAGCCGACCUGAGAGGGUGAUCGGCCACACUGGAACUGAGACACGGUCCAGACUCCUACGGGAGGCAGCAGUAGGGAAUCUUCCGCAAUGGGCGAAAGCCUGACGGAGCAACGCCGCGUGAGUGAUGAAGGUCUUCGGAUCGUAAAACUCUGUUAUUAGGGAAGAACAAAUGUGUAAGUAACUAUGCACGUCUUGACGGUACCUAAUCAGAAAGCCACGGCUAACUACGU